UUAUAGCUCAGUCAGUAGAACAUGAGGCUUUUGAUCUCAAGAUUGUUGGUUUGAGCCCCACUCUGGGCAAAG